rnacentral:lncRNA from 1 species
UUUCUCUAUGUCACAAGUGUCAAAGUAAUGCCUACCUUUACUUUUUUUUUUUCCUCUUACACGUACUAUUCUCCUCUCAAAAGGUCAAAAAUGAUGGGCUCCACCAUUUUCAAAAUUAAAAAAUAGGGGCUUAUUUGGUUGUUAUUUUUUAAAACUGUUAUAAAAAAUAGUUUUUUAGAAUAAUUUUUGGUGUUUUCAGGAAAAAAAAAAAAAGCAUGUUUGGUUUAGUUAAUAAAAAAGUUUUUUAGAACAAAUAAAACAAAAAAACAUGUUUGAAAGUUGUUUUUUUAAUUAAUAAAGUGUUUUCUUUAAUUAACUUGAUAUUAUAAAUAUAUAAAUAAUUUUUAUUUGCACAAUUCAUUUAAAUUAAAAAAAUUAUUCCCCUUUGAAAUUUUUACAUCAAUUAUAAUUUUCUUAAACAAAUGAUGAUUUUAUAACCAUGUGUAAGUAUAUUAAUUUCAAUAAUUUAAGGAAGAAGAAAUGGCUUGGGGUGGAAGUGUGGUGGUUGGGUGGAGCUCACCUUCGUGGAAACAGAAACAGACGAAAGAGAAAACACGAAGAACAAUUUGCUCUUUGAAUAGUAAAAAAACAAUGAAAACAUAUUUUUAUUGUUCUCAAAAAAUUGGUUUUUGAGAACACAGGAAACAUAAAAAACAAAAGCACACCCCUUUCCCCAAACAUGUUUUUAGUCUUUUUUGUUUUCAAGAACAGAAAAUAGUUCUUGAAAAAAACAACCAAACAGGCCUUAGGGUUUUUUUCUCAUAAUGGGCCCCUACCUUAUCUUCUUUGUUUUUUUUUUCUUUUCAACUCAUGUAGGUUAGUUAGGCCAACAUGCUAUUUUACAACAUUAGUUUUUAAAAUGAAUAUAUUAAAUAUUUAAGCACAUAAGAUAAGCAAUAUUGAUGAAAAACUAAUAAAAAUUAUAAAAUAUAAGACUAAUAAACAAAAUAAAUAAUAAAUAAUAAAUUCUUAUUUUACUUUUUUGAUAUAUGAUAUAUAUUCUUACCAAUUAAAUAUUAUGAUUUUAUUAUUUAAUAAAUAAAAUAUUAAUACAUUUAUAUGGUAAUAUUAAAGAUAAAAAUGAUGAAAUAUUAUCAUUUUACUCUCUAAUAAAAUAAAAAUAUUAACACAUUUACACGAUAAUAUCAAAGAUAAAAUGAUUAAAUGUUUUUAAAAUUAUUUAUAUAUAAUUUUAAUUUCUUAUAAUUAUUUUUAUUUUUAAUAAUAUUUAAAUUAUAUAUUUAUGAUAUAAUGUUGACAUUAUAGUUUAAUUAUUAAAGUAUUACCUGACAACUUUUUUUGUUCAAUAACUGGUCUGAUUCUAAAAAUAUGAGAUAAAAACUAAUGUACACACUGCUCUUGUGCCACUUGAAUGAGAUAUUUGAAGUGUCAAUUACCAUCUUUAGGUUUUAUAUAGACAAAGUAAACAAUAUACAAAUUGUGAAACUAAAAAAAGGAACAUGCAAUUGUAAUAAAUUGUAGUAAUCUCAUAUCCCAUGUUCACAUGCCCUAGCUAUAUGUGCAUAUGCAAGAAUUGAUAGUUGGAAGUUUGUUGAUAAAUAGUAUAUGAUGAAUGUAUAUGAAUGUUGUUAUAUUGCACUGCAAUUUAAUUUGCUUAUGUAUUAAAAUGCAUACCCUAACCUUAUAGUGCAUUCACCCAAGUGCCCACGACGAACAUAAGGGGAGUUGAUGAACUCGGCCAACCCUCCAAUCUGCCAAUAAUCUUCCCCCCAAACGAUACCCCUGGGGUUCGAACCCGUGACCUCAGCUCUGAUACUACUUGUAGGACCUCAGACGCUACCAAUUCUCCUAAAAUCAAUUGUUGUUAGGAUAGAAACAUAUCUUAACCUUAUAGUGCUUUCACCCAAGUGUCCACGGCGAACACUAGGGGAGUUGAUGAACGCGGCCAACCCUUCGAUCUGCCAACAAUAGUGCCUAACAAGUAUUUGACUAAUUUAAAUCAAAGAAAGUAAUUGAAGAACCAGUUCAAGAAAUAGGUGAAAAAGAAUUUUUGUGGUAUUUUUAGUGAUGUAGUUUUAAAGUAUGAGGGCUAAAAAAUCAAGAAAUAAAACAAAUAGAAAAUAGUUAAGGUUCGAGUUUACUUUAGGCAUUCUUCCUUUAAGACCCUAUUUUAGUUAAGUGUCAUACCAUAGAGCUUUUGCUCUCUUUGUCUCUUUCUCUCUCAAGAUACUAAAGACUAAUUCAAGUCAAGCUUCAUGUCUAUAAAGUUUGUGAUCCAUGUUUAUGAUCAAUGCCACUAGAACAAUUUUUACCCCCUUAAUUAAUCAUGUAGCACAAGAUUGAUCAAGUCUACCGAGGGCUCACCACCUUGGUCAUCAUUCCACCAAUGACCAUCCACUUAAAGACAUUUUCAAGCAACAACAUUGCAUGGUGAUAGCAAUGAAGGUGUCAAUCCUUACUCCAACUUAUCUAAACAUAGCUUUGAUGAAUUAAAUGGGAGCCUAACCUCACCCUUAAUUACCUUAGCCUAAAAAAUUACAUUCAUAGUAUGAAAAUAAAAUUGAAUGGUACGUACAAAGAAAAAAAAUUGAAAAUUGAAUAUUGAAAUUGAAAAUAUAAAUAAAAAAUGUUAGAUUACAAUUAUACUUAGAGGAAUAUGAGUUCUUUCUCUUUAUUCUUCAUAUUUUUCUACUACACUUUUCUACUCCAUUACUUCUUUAUGUCUUUCUGUCUUCUAAAGAUGGCUAGAGAAGAAAAUUGUAGUACUUAUCAAUUGAAGGGAUAAUUGAGAUGUCUUAUCACAUACAAACCUUGAAAAAUUGCAAGAAUGAGAUGACUAACCAAGGAUGCUAGGCGUCAUGCAUGCCAUAACAAUUAAGGCUUUGGUGGCGGGCUUGAUUCACUUUCCAUGGCAUUGACAAUGCAUCCAUAGAGCUCACUUGAGAGAGAGAAAGAGAGAAAUGAAGUGAUAAGAUGAGAGUUGAGAAUAAAAGAAACAAUCAAAGAUUUGGGUUCAAGGCUCAAAUCUUUACCAAGAAGGUAGAGGGAGUGAAGAAUGGAGAAAAAAAGUUUAGGCAAAUUGCGAGGUUGUUUGGACUUGAAAACGUGAGAAAAAACAUAAUAUAUUGAAAAUUUCCCAAAUAAAUAAAUAAAUAAAUAAAAACACAUCUAGCCUAGCAACUAGCCUAGUGAGCUAGUUUUUCUUAACUUUUUUUUUUAGUAGUUUUUGAAAGGGAAUCAAGGAUGGUAGUGAGCCAAACUUCCAUUUAAUGUUACUAACCCUUUCAAAGUACUUUAUUUCAGUUGCCUUCUACCUUAUUUCCUUGUAAAACUCACACAAACUAAUCAAGAUAUCUUAUAUCAAUAAAACAUGACAAAAUUGAGUGUUCUUAUGCAUGUAAUUUUGUGAAUUUAUAUGAUUUAACUAUGAUAAUAAUAAGAUUUUUUUUUUCCCUCUAAUUACAAUCCUAUUGGCUAGAACAUGAUUUUCCAACUGUCCAUCCUAAUCUAACUUCAUUACAUGAUAAAGGAAGAUAAAUAUCUUUAAGAUCAUGAAUGAUAUGGAUUAGAGAGAAUCAAGUAUUAAAUUUUGAUGUGAACUUUGUAAACAAGAAAGAUAGUCUCCAAAAAUGUCUUAACAAAGGACAAUUCUCUAACACAACUACUUAAUGGCAUUGAGUAUAUAUAUAUAUAUAAAAAUCAUUGAAUAUAUAGAAGAUUUUUGUAACACUAGACAUGAAUUUUUUUUUUUUUUAUAAAAUAUCAUUAUCAUGUCAAAUAAUAAACUAAUGAAGUCAUUCAAAUGAUGCAAAAAAAAAAAAAAAAAAAAAAAACACUAUCAUGGAUAUGAGAACUUUAGAUCGUUUCUUUCUUUAUAGCCAUGAAACACAACUAUCUUCACUUUUAUAGAUAAGAUUUGACAUUAGGGAGCUCCAUCAUUGACGCUACAAAGUUAGUUUCCACUACAUUAGGGUGUUGGAUAUACAAAAGUGCACAAUGUUUUAACAUGGUUUGACCUACCAUGCCUACAUUUAUAUAUGAGAGAAUUAUUUCACUACAAUAUAGAAAAUAUUAUAAAUGAUAAAACCAGAUACAAUUAUUAGAUUUUUGAAACUAGGAUGUUUACCUAUUCCAUGUAUCUAUACCUUGAACCAUGAGUCUUCUUACUCCACAAGUGUUUCCUAUUCUUCCCCACAUCUCUAUCCACCUUUUAUAGUCUUUAUAACUUAUUUCGAUCUCAUAGCGUUUUCCUCUCAAGAACUAAAAUAUUUUUAGGGAUAUUCCUAACAACUUUCUUUACUCUAUAAGAAAAUCUAAUAUUAUAAUAACAUCUGAAUAUGAUAAAUAUUCUACAAAAUAUUAUUUGCAAAAGAAAAUCUAUACUAAUUAAAAAUUUGAGAUACUUUCCAACAAUUUAUUGGUUUUCCAUUUGUGAUUUCAUGUUGUAUUUCUAUUUUAAAUUUUUUUAAAAUAAAAUAUAAGUUAUUUACUUUUUUAAAAAAAUUACAUCAUUAAAUUUAUUUAUUAAAUAUGCAAAUGUUUAAUAACUUAAAUUAAGUUAUUAAGUUAUAUUAAAUCAUUAAGUUGAUCUACCAAACAUUUUUUUUUAUAUUCUAAAAUCUCUUUUAUUCAAUUUGACUACAUUUAGGGGUUGUUUGUUUUUUCACCAUAAGUACCAAAGCAAGUUGAUUUUAGAUUUAAGAUAAACGUAAAACGACAACAACAACAAGAACAAUAAUAAUAAUAAUUUCUUCAUUAAGAUAAAAUUAUCUUAGAAAAAAUGAAAAGUUAAAAAAUAAAUAAUCUUAAAAAUAACUUAAGGUCUUAAAAUAAAGUGCUUUAAGACUUAAGUCCAAAAAAAAAGAAAUAGAACUUAAUAUUUAAUAUUACCUAUAAUUAGAUAAAUUUAUGUCUAUUUAGAUUUCUUUUUUUUUUUAAAUCUCACCUAUAUUACAACUUAAUAUAAAAACGAUUUAAUGUAAUAAAUUAAAAUAGAUAAAAAAAAUUUCUUCUAAAUCUUAAUUAUCAUUUGUCUUAUUUAUCAAUAUUUCUUUUCACCAUAUUUCUCUCUUAUAACCUCAUUACUUAAUAUUAACUAGGAUAAAUAUGUUAAUUUAAUACUACAGAAAAACUUUUCAAUACAUUUUUUAAACAAUCUUAACACUUAAAGUAAAAAUGAAAGGAUAAAUUUUAAGUCAAUAAUUUAAAUAUAAUUUAACUUAAAAUUAUCUUCAAUUGUUAUGUUAAGUUUUACUUGACAAUGAUAAAAGAAUAAUUAUAAAUAUAGAUUUAUUAAUUUAUUUAUUUUUAAAUAAAAUAUAAACACAAAAAGACUAUUUUAUUCUUAAGCCACAUGGUUCCUUUCCACAAUGUUAACGCUAGCCUCUUCCUUUUCAUUUUCCCUUUAUUUUUUUUCUUCUUCUUUUUCCACAAAUCUAAGUUAAUUUAUUUUAACUUAGAUAUUAAGAAAUAAUUUAAAAUUAAUUUUUUAUUAAUGUAAUUUUUUUAAAAAGGAAAAAUAUUAACCCCAUUCUCAUUUAAAUAGAACCUCACCACCUAUUCUAUAUCUUAAAAGAAAAAAAUGCAAUAAAAAAAUCUUGGCAACAUAGUGGAACAUAUUGGGUUGUAAUAGAAAAACGACUUAUCCAUCUUUCCAAUAUGACUUUUCUUUGUCUUUUUCAUAAAAAUAUCUAAAAAUUCCUAUAAAACUAUUAAUGGAAUUUAUUAAAAUAAAUUAUUUAAUGAAUGAUAAUUUAUAUGCAGUAAAUAUAAUAGAUGAAGUAAUAUUAACAAUAAGGUUAUUUAAAUAUAAAUAGGUAAGUAUAAUAAUAAAUUUAUUAUUAGCACAUCAAAGGUUGACCACAUCCAUUAACUUUCUUGUAUUUAAAUAUCGUAAACGCUUGGGUAAAUGAAUUAUAAGGUUAGGGUAUGCGUAUUUCUUAACAAUAAUUACUUUUAGGAAAGUUAUUAACACCCAAAGUCAUACAAAUUGUAUUAGAGCCGAGGUCACAGGUUCAAACACUAAGAAUGUAUGUGGUUAGGCAUUGGGAGGAAAUUAUUGGCAGAUCGAAGUUGAUCGAUGAUGCACUAUAAGAUCAAUCUCUUUUAAGAGAGUUGAUAACACCUAAAGUCCUACACUUAUUAAAUUAAAUAAUUAUCUGUCAAACUGUAGUAACAUUUUUCAGAAAUUUUAUCAGUGUUAUAAAAAGUUAGUUUUUAGUCAAAUCUUAACUCCACUUUUUAUCUAAAGAUAAAUUAAGAUUAAAUAGAAUUACUUUAAAUCAUAAUAAUAUGGAUAAAUUUAUAAAAAAUUUAUGAUAUUAGAUUAUUAUUUAUUAAGAUGUAUUGAUUUCGUCAAGUCUGGUGUUCUGGGCUUAUGUAAUUCUUUUUUUUAUUUUUAAAAAUAAGGAUAAAUUCUUUUUGUUUUUUAUAAAAAAAAAAUACAUACUUUAUUUACGAGACAACACGCGUCUUGAUACAAGAAUUCUUAUAUUUUUUAUAAGAGUUUUUACUUUAAAAAGUAAAAAGUAAAAAAUAAAAAAUACAUUCAAACAUAGCAUUGAAUGGGAAUAAUUUUGAUAACAACAUCUAACAUAAAUAAUUUGUAAAUAAGAGGAAGCCUUGAUGCAACGUCGUUGAAUGUGGUAAGUAGAAAUCAUAUUGGAAUUGGCAGAUGUAGUGUUUUGCAUUCAUCAUCAGCUUGAAAUAUGUAAAUUUUAUUCCCAAAUAAAUGAUAGCUAUUCAAUUUAAAAAUGAUUCAACUUGGAAGAGAGCACAUGAAGACGAGUCAAGUCAAGCGGGGCGUCCUGCGGCUCAAGAAGGCUACAAUUUGUGCUUUAUGUGGUCCUCCCACUGACCAUGACCACCACAUCUAAAUUUUGAACUUUUUAAUUAUUUUAUUUUAUUUUAAUAUUCCCAAUGAUCCAUGGAUAAUUUUGGGUUCAAGCCGGCUAGAUUUUCAGUUGCCUGCAACUUGUCCACGUGUAUGUUGGUUCUAUCAGGCGCAACCUUUUGAAUGCCAUUGCUAAGAACAUUUGAUUCUCUUCAUUUAAUUCAUGAUAAAUAAUAUAUAUAUAUAUAUAUACUAUUCACUUUAUUAUUACAUUUUGUAAUUUAUGCUCCGAGUAGAUGAUUCGACAAGUAAUUUUACCCUAACAUGUUUUUCACAUAUUUGAAUUGAGUAGUGAUGUGUAUAACUCGUUUUAUAAAUAUAUAAUUUUUUUAUUAAUAUAUAUAAUAAAAAUAUGAUCUGAAUAGUCUAGUUUAUUAAUUGAAUUGAUUAAUCUAAUUAUAAUUUUAAAUUAUUUAAUUUAAAUAGACUUAUUUUAAAUGAUUUUUUAAAUAAAUAGGUCAAUUAAAUUAUAAACAUUUGUAAUUAAGAGGUUAAUAAUUGAUAUACAAUCUAACUUAAUCUUAUUGAUUAUCAAUAAAAAAAAAUUAAAUUAAUUAAAUAGAAUAAAUGUAUUGUACGAUUCGUUAAGUGUUUGGGUUUAUGGUACCAUGAAUAAUUAAAUUUUAUAAUAUAUUAUUUAACUAAUAAUAUUUAAAUUUUAAUUAAUACUCAAAUAUUUUAGAUAAAUUAACUUUUUAUCUUUUAAAAAUCAACUAUUUAUCUUUUACCAAACCAAAUUGUUGUAUUAGAUGGAUGGCUUAUUUUUGCACAUAAUUCUAUUGGUAUUUAAUAAUUUAAGAUGAGGAAGAAUGUGAAUCUAAUCCCUUUUCAAAUUGGGUAUUACAUAAUUUAAUUAAAUAAUCCUAUUCAUAUGAUUAUUUAUAUUAUAUUUAAUAAUUUAUAUUAUAUUAUUUAACUAAUUUUUAAUUUUUAAUUAAUGUGAGAGAUUAAUUUCUCAUUUAUUAAAAUUAAACAAAUUAUUGUAUUAAAUUAAUGGAUAGACUAUCCUCGAGAUUAACAUAUGAUUUAUUUAUAAGCAAAUUUUCUUAAGAGCCUAAUAUAUAUAUAUAUAUAUUAAUUUUCUUUACUUGGUAUAAUAAUCUAAUCCAUCUAUUUCGGGUUGUGACUCAAUUAACGCAUAUGUCUGUCCAACUUUAAUCCAAUUUAUACAUUUUUCUCAAUCAUAAGGCCAACCCAAUUAUCACCCAAGUUUCAGGAAAAUGGUUUUGGUUCAAUUCAAAUUGUCAAAUUUGGAUUAUUGAAUUUGGAUUGAGUUUUUAUACCAUUUUGCUUUAAAAAAAUGGUUUUGGUUGAACUCAAAUUGAAUUGUUGAAUUUGGACUGAAUUUAUAUAUAUAUAUAUUCAUAAGAGUGAAAAAAAAUAUUAUUAAAUUAAAAUUAUUUAUAAAUCAUAUAAUUUGAAAUUAGAAAAAUGCAUGUGAUCAAAAGUCAUAACUGCCAGAGGUUCCGAAGGGACGUUCAAUGAAUCGGGACUGACAGAAACAGUUGAAAAGCCCCUAUGCAGAAUCAUGGAAGUAGAGAAAAAUGUAAUGGGUUUGAAGAUGAACAACAAGACAUGGCCAAAAUGUCACGUGCGCUUGCUUAAUUUCUUCUUUCAACAAAUGCUAUAAUAAUAUAUUAUAUAUGCUUAAGAUUUUCUUCGGUUAUCUUCUUGGAUUACUAUUUUGUCCUUUUUCUCCUAUAUAUUUACUAAUUUAUAUUUGACCUUUUUAUUUAUUAAUUCAUUUUCCAUGGUGGCCAAUGGGAUGAUCCCACAUCCAUGUCGUCAUUCAUGCAUCUCUCCCUCCUUCAACCUUGACAAGCCAUCAAAUUUAAUAUACUUAAAAAGUCAAUUUGAUUUUAAACUUAAAUUAUAUACUUGUGUGUUUGAAUAUAUUUUCUAGAGUAGAAAAUUUUGUCAGUUUUAAAAUUCUAAAAAUUUAAGAGAGAAAAACUUUUCUCUUGUACAAUUUUUUUUCUUUUAAUUUUAAAAAGUGGCUUCAAGAUAAUGAGUUACUUUUUAUGUAAAAAUGCUUAAAUUAUAGAAAAUAUAUUUAAAUGCUGGUUAUCGAUUCAAGAUUUAUUAUUAUUAAAUCGAUCCUUAUUUAAUUAUUAAGGUUAUUUAAUAUAAUCAUUAUAAAAAAUAUUUAAAUAAUUAAAUUGUCGUAUUUGUUGUUGUAAUGACUUGUACUCAACUGUAUAGAUAUUAUCCGUUUUAAAUUCAAAUAAGACCUCACAUUAAGAUCGAAUAUCAACUUUAAUAUCAUUUAUAAUGACCUUCAUCAAAUCGUGUAUAUAUUAUUCACUAAAAACCCUCAAAGUUUUAAAAUAUGUUCACAACCAUAAGGUUAAAAUAAGUCUAUACAUAGUCAUUCAGUUAGAUAAUCUAAAUUUAUACGUUAUGUUUAAGAAAUAAUGCAUAUAUAAUCAAUUAAAAUUUUAAAGUUUUAAAACGUGUCCACAAUCAUGAGAUUAAGAAAAGUCUAUGUAUAUAUAUAUAUAGAGUUAUUCGAUUAGCUAAUCUAAAUUUAUAAGUCAUGUUUAAGAAAUAAGAUAAUUAUAAAACAAGUCGAAUCAAAUAUAUUUUAUACACCAUACGAAACCAAAAAGACUAAAAGAAAGUGAAGUAAAAUAAAUAGUUAUGAAAGCUAAAUGGGAUACGUAACGCCAGUCAAAUGAGGGAAAGUGUUUUUGUUGUUUUGGGAAACAUAUUAAAUAGAUUUGAGAUGAGGGGAGGGACAGACGUACAACUUGGAUUUGCAUGAAGCAUUGAAGCUUUAUAUAUACAAGGAAAAGAAAGUAGAAAAAAUAGAUGUUGUAAAGUCAAGUCUUGAAAUAUAAAAUAAAUUAAAUGAUUAUUUCAGCAAGAAGCAACUUCGGUGUUGGUCAAGCCAUUAAUUUAUUGGAGAUUUGACCAGCUUUUUAUGUUUGAAAUCUGUAGAAAGGUAUUCCAGUUGUACCUCAGAGCUGGUAGGACUUCUCUUUCUAAGCCAAUCGGAUUCGAAAAAUAUAUAUAUACAGACAUAAAAAUCUAAAUAUUUUGAUUUUUUCAACUCAACCAAAAAAUAAACAACGACUUUAGUCACACCUUAAAAAAAUUAAUAAAUAUAUCAAAGUAGAAAAAAAAUAUAAAAAAAUAUUUAAAAUCAAUAAAUUAUUUUUAUAUAAUAUUUUAAACAUAUUAAAUUUAUUUUAAUUAUAUUUAAUUUUUUAAAUGCCUUUCAUAAUAUAACUAAAUAUGAUAAGAUUGUUUUUUAUUUUUUUAUUUUUUUACUAUUUUUGAAUAACCACACAUGAUCAAUAGUUACAGAUUUCUAACUCUUAAAUGAAUCUUAAAAUAUCCUCAAUUAGGAUCGUAAUUGAACUUAUAAUAUUAAAAAAAAAAAACCCUAAAUUGAUAAAAGAAUCUAAAUAAUUUUUUUCCAUUUUUAAAAAACUUAUGGCUCAAUUUUAAUAUAAAAAAAUCAAAUUAUUAAUUUGAUCUUCAUAUUAAAAGAAAAAAAUUAUCCACCCCCUUUCAAAAAAAAAUUCUAUAAAAUAGGCUUUAUACGGACUUGCGUUUAACUUUCAAACAAUGACAUGUUAGAUAUUUUUAUUCUCCCCAUCAACUUGUAAGUUAAUGUCAUAUGUUGAGGUCAUUAAGCUACCUAAACGUAAAAAUAGAGACUUUUUGCUUCAAGGUUUUUUAAAAUAUGCAAGUCUAAAUCUUUGUUCAAAACCGCUGAAUUCAACGGGACCAAAUUCAACCAACACCAAAUUGAUUGUAAUCGAAUCAAAUUUAAUUUACUUAACUUGAUUCUCAAGUUGUAUCAAAUGAGAUCUACUCCUAAAUUAAAAUUACACGUAAUCUCUUAAAAGCAUAUAAUUAUUCCAUGCUAAACUAUAAGGUUUCAUCCUUGAUAGAAAUUCAUUCGAAUCCAUUUUUUUUCUUCCACGUGUAGCUCUAAGAUGGUAUUGUAGUCUAAAUUCUAACAAAAAGAGACAGAUGGCUAUUAAAAGUUGUUUUCAAGGGCCAGUGCUGCUUCGGAAAAUCAGAAAGGAAAAAUUUGUCCGAAGAAGAGAAAACAGACGAGAUUUACCUACCCAAAGUUUGGAAUUGGUUGAUGUAUAAUGAAAGUUGGGACUUUUUCUAUUCAAAGCGUUGGACUUUGUUCUAUAUGAUAUAAGCAUAUUCAAAGGGACUGCAGAUAUGUUGAUCAAUAGUCUCCAACGCCAGCCAUACUAGGUCUAUAACGUUUCAAAGUUAGCAGCUGAACCACGUUCCUUCCACGGUAUCUUCAUCGACAAAACCCUUGAAACCAUUGUCGUCUUUGUUUCAUUUUUUCUCAGUACGAGGCACAUACGUGGCGGAAUGAUGUCCACCUCUGCAAGAAUCAAGCUCAUGCAUUACUCUAGCUUCAUUGAAACAAAGGCCAACUCCCUUGUACCAGAAGAAAAUGCCCGAUUUGAUGCUGAAACUCAUGUCGCUUUUCACCUAAUUCAUGACAUAAGGGAUUGAAAAUCUGGAUUAUGAAAAUUAUGUCCACCAGCCCCUUUGUUCCACAGUUAAUUGUAAAUUAUAUUUCGAUCAUGGCCCGACUGGUUUUUCUUGUACUUGCGUUCAUUCCCUGUUGACGGGAUGAAUAUUUUAGCUACUUUUAGCUUAGACUAAUGCUGAAAACCAUCAUUAGGGGAUUCAGGUAUCAAUCAACUAGGGUUUUUAUUUGAGAGGGAUGGAGAUGCUAAUAUGGAAAUGGAUUCACAUAUCGUGAUUGAAAGCUCUGACAAAUUUUGCACACCCAUUUACAAACGUUGGUAGAAAUUGACUUCAUCAGCCCUAUGAGUAAUGAUCAUAUUUUUUUAUUUUUUUUUCUUGUCAUGUGACGUAGGCUUUGGAAAAAUCCAAGAUGAACCUUCACUGAUUAAGUUUUAAUUGAGCACCCACAUUGUGAAAAAUGAUUUGGGUUAGGGGCUUCACCAAUCAUAGAGCUUAUACAAGUGGAAAAUGGAAAUUCAAUGAGGCGGCCACACAGCAAUAUUCAUAAAUAUAAAUAUGAAGCUGAUUAAUUAAUUAACGUUAAUGAGAUGGACAGACCAAAGUCCAGAUGGGGUUGACGGGUAUAAAUUUUAUAUGUCUAGGGAAAAAUAAUUAUUUAAGAUAAGGCAGGCAUAAAAGCAAUAAUAAUAUUUGGCCUACUGACGUGCACUAGCCUCUUUCUUUGACCCCUUCACACCAUCGAUGCUAAAUUCCAAGCAGCCCAAAUACUUCAACAAAUGUGAACUGCACGUGUACACUCUCACACUCGUGUCCAUUUUGUGAAUAUGGUAUUAGGUGUUGUGUUAGGGUCUAAUUUUGGGUCGAGUUAAGAGAACACUUAUUCAUCAUACUUUAGCUGGAUAUGGAAAGUUUUUGAAUAUGCAAUGAAGAAAAGGAAAGAAAUUUAUUUCAAAUUUCAUCCAUUAGUAUUUUUAUAAAUUUAUUUUUUUAAAGAGAUUUAAAUGAAAAUAUUUUAAGUAGAAGUGUUUAAAAAUCCUCUAAUAAUUAAAUUUUAUUCUUUAAAAAUUAAAAUUUAUAUAUAUAAAAUAUAUUUAUCGGAUGUAACCGGUAAAAUUUGAAAUAUGUGACGAUUUUAUAUAUUUACAUUAGGGUGGUGUUUAUUUUUUGAUUGAAUAGAAAAAAUCAAAAUAUUUGAUUUUUCUAAUUUAACUAAAAAUAACUUGUUCACAUCGUUCAAUAUAACUAAACUGAAUUUAUUAUUAAUAGAUUCAAUUUAGUUAUAUUGAAGAAUAUAAACGGAUUACUUUUAACUGAAUAUAAAAAAUUAAGUAUUUUAAUUUUUCAUAUUCAAUAAAAAAACAAACAUCACUUAAGAUUCAUAUUAUCAAUGAAAAACUCAAAAUUAAAAUAUUUCUGCAUAUAUUCUAAGGCACCGCCUUAAGAUGAGCCUGUUAUUCUAUUAAAGAGAUAAUAACGAAUUUGAAAAGGCAGAAAAGGAAAAUACCAAGAAGGAUUUGGGGAUAUUGAACGUCACAUUCAUAGGGAUCACCUUGCAGAAGAAAACAAAAACAAGAUGAAAUUCAUUCCGGGUAAGUUAUUAUAUAGCAAGUUGGUGCGUUAAUUUGCCAAAGUUGGUCACAAGUUUCAUUAAAAUAAUAAUAAUAAUAAUAGGAAAGAAAGAAGGAAAAGAAAAAUUCUUGAACUCAAAUGUAAAAUAUCUGAACAUGCCCCAAUUAAUGGCCAUGCUAGUUCAAGGAAAAGAAAAACCCCACGUUUUAUUUGACCAAUAAACAAACACUCGUGUCAUCCAGUGAGGCGGUUCCUAGCAAUUGUGGGCUAAAAAGGAUAUGCCUUUUUAUUUUCUUUUUUUUCUAAAUUCUAUCAACAGUUGUUUGUACUAUCUGCAAAUUGCAGCAGCUGGACUCCUCAUUAUAAAUACCCGCUCAUGGGCUUCAAAUCGGUUUGAGCUUGGGACAUCAAGAGAGAACACAGAGAUAAACAAGGGUGUCUCAGUCUCAAAUCCUUACGUAGAAAAGAAAAAAUGGGGAGAGCUCCAUGUUGUGAGAAGAUGGGGUUGAAGAAAGGUCCAUGGACUCCCGAAGAAGAUCAGAUUUUGGUCAAUUACAUCCACCUUUAUGGCCAUGGAAACUGGAGGGCACUUCCCAAACAAGCUGGUAAGUACUCCAUCCAAUCCAAACUCAGUAGAAAGAAAGAAAGAAAGAAAGAGAGAGAGAGAGAGAGAGAGAGAAAGAGAGAAAAGCCUUGAACAUCCAGGAAGAAGAAAUUUAGAGGAAGGGCAUGUGUGUAGUAUGUAUAUUAGUAUGAUCAAAGGAAUGGCAACAAUGCUUUUCCAAUUUCAUUUUUCUGGGUUUUCUAGAUUCCACUGCCUACUGCUUUAUAUAUGUAUUUAACACAUGGUAUAUGUGAAUCUAAAUUGCAUUUUUCACUUUGGUUUUUCAGGCUUAUUGAGGUGUGGAAAGAGUUGCAGACUUCGAUGGACGAAUUAUCUGAGGCCGGAUAUCAAACGGGGAAACUUCACCAGUGAAGAAGAAGAAACCAUCAUCGAGUUACAUGAAAGGCUGGGCAAUAGGUGUGUAUUUGGCCUGAUUUUUUUGUUUCCCAGAAGAUACUGUUGUCUUAGCAUUUUGGAAGCACUUCUCUUGCUUUCAGUUUUUGUUUUCAAAAACACUAUCCAAACUCCAAAGUGUUUUCACUUGAUCAGUUAAUUUUGUAAAAGAAACAUGUGGGACUGAAAAGAUUCCCUACUGAAACACAGACAUGUGAGAGUGCAGUAACAAGUUUUUCUUUAUAUGGAAUUAAAAAUAUGAAAGAGGCUGAUUAAUAAAGACAUUAGCUAGCAAAUGCAGACACUUGACAUGAAUUUAUUUUCUCAAACUCUGCAGAUGGUCAGCGAUAGCAGCGAAACUACCGGGGAGGACAGACAAUGAGAUAAAAAAUGUGUGGCACACCCACUUGAAGAAGAGGCUCAAGCACAACCACGCCACGCCACCCCCUAAAAGACACUCUCUUGAUGCGUCCCACGUCGAAAAACAACAAAACCCCAUUAGUUCUGCAACCAAUUCGAGAUCGGAGAGCCUUGGGUAUGGACCAGUACUGUCCCCACAGCAGUCCUUUAGCGAUAUCUCCUCAGCCGCCACCACCACGACCACCGCCACCAUGUCCGACAUUACUACACCCUGCAUUAAGGUCGAUUCACUGGAGGAGUUCCCAGAAAUGGACGAGAAUUUCUGGUCGGAAGUACUGUCAUCCAACAAAUCCGGCGCGGCGGGUGAUUUGCCAGGGGCGGCCAGUGGUCCACAGCUUCAGUUUCCAUUCUCUCCGCGUGCUGUCAUUGGCAGUAGUCCAUAUAGCACGUAUGACAUGGACAUGGAAUUUUGGUACAAUAUUUUCACAAGGUCCGGGGAGUUGCAUGAAUUAUCAGAAAUAUGAGGGAAGGGGCUUGUAAUUUUCAAGUUGUCCGAUGUGGGAAAUGGGAAAUGGGAAACGGGAAAAUGAAAUUCUUUGGGUGGCCUCUUUUGACUGUUGAAAGAUUGGACAACAAUUAUCGGUGGGACAGGAGCUGUCAUACCGGUUAGAAUUAUUCAUGUAUCGAACAGACUCAGCCAAAUGAUUGUCGGCAAGCAAUAAUUUUCUUCGAUAAAAUAAAGGGGGAAUGAAAAAUGUGUACAUUUUAAUGAUGUUGAUUGAGAAUGACUUGCAGGAUAUAGUGGUUUUUUGGCCCUUUGGAAAGUACUUGGAAAUGCAUCAGAGGCAAAGUGGUGUGUGCGUGUUGCACUUUCACUCUGCAAAUGAUUCUAAAUCAUGUGAAUCAUGCCCUUAUCUUAAUUACAACCCGUUAAAUUUAUAAUUAAUAUUUUUUUUUUAAAAAUGUGAUACAAUUUUUGUUGAUUGAUGUGUAGUGUUGGCAUUAAAUAUAUAUAACUACUUUAUUUGAUGAAUUUUUGGAAAAAAAUAUAUAUAUAAUUUUUUAAAAUUUAUAAUAUGUUUUUAUAAUAAAUUUUCAAAUUUUGUUAGUUAUUUUUAUAUUUGAAUUUUUAAUUAAAAUUUGAGAAUUAUUUAAAAAAAAAUCCAAAAAAGCCCCUAAAUAACUAUUUUCUUUUCUUUAGCUUUAUCUUGAUUUAUGGCCUUUAAAUUCAAAAUUCCAUAGGUAAUGGUACGAGGAUAUGUUGAUAAGACUAUUAUAGUGAUGUGAUGAACCGUGAUGUGAUGAACCUAAGAAUAUUUCACAAGAUGUUUAAUUAUUUUUCAUAUAUAUGUAUUACAUUGUUAUUCCUAUAAAACUCCACUUUUUAAUGAUCCCACACUCAUUUUCUUUUUAAUCAAAAUCCUAAAAUAAGACUUGAGGUGGAAAAUGCAUGGGAGGUGUUCAAUAUACCUUGAGAAUUGUUAAUCAAAUUAUACACAUAGGAGAAUGAACAAAAAAUAAAAAAAUAAAAUAAAAUUUUUAGCGUAGUUUGACGAUCAAUGUAAUCCUUAUAUCCACAUGAUAUAUUAACACUCAACAAUCUACUAAUUAAAAGGAACAAAAAGAGUUAUAAUGGUUACCUCUUAAUUACAAUCGUGUUUUCUAAAAAACAAAAUCUUAAAACAUAAAAAGGUUAAAUAUAUAAUAAGGACAAACUCGUUAUUCAUUUCAUAAAAUAAAAAAAUAAAAAAAUUCUCCAAUGGAUGUUUGCCCCUUCAAUCCUUGCACGCUAACUAGGUAGCUCAAUCCUUGCAAGUUCAGUAGGGAGCUCAAUCCCCAUGAGUUGAUUGGCCAACUCGACUUCCAACAUUUCAAACGAAACAUAAUAAAAUUGAUUUAGGUUUUACAAUCCAACAAGAAUAAGGUGGUGUUUGUUUUUUUACUUAAUUUUAAAUAGAACCUUAAUACUUAAUAGUAUUAAAUAUUAGAUUGUUUGUUUUUGUAGUAUUUUAUUUCUAUUAAGUAUUAAAAAGUAAAAAAAACCAUUGUGUUAUUUUUUCUAUUUAGAAAAAGUCACAUAUUUUGGCUUUUUCUAUUUAGUAAAAAGUUUAUAAUAAGUCAUGAAAAAGUAAAAAAACAAACAACCUAAAUUCUAAAACUAAAUGGUUUUCAGCAAAAAGCCAAAAAAACAAACACCACCUAAGUCUUGUCAAAGAUUACUUUAAAAUAGUUUUGAGCCUUUACAUGUUAACUUUCAUGACACUUAGAGAGUGUAUGAUUAAACUUUAAACUUAAGGUGUAAUAAUUUUAAGUAAUUUUAAGUUAAAUUAUAGUUAAGUUAUUAAGUCAUUAAAUUGUUUUAGUAAAAUCACUUUUAACCCUUUUUUGUGAUGGUGGAAAAGUUGAUAUAUAAGUUAUCACUAUAGCCAUUCUAUAGAACCAUAUAUGAAAUUUUUCACCUUUUCCAACUUAUUGUUCAAUUUUUUCAAAGUCACUAGAUUAUUUUCCUUGUUCAAGAAUCUCAUCUUUCUUUCUCUUAGUCUCAAAGAGUAAUUAAGAUUAAAACUAUGUUUUCAUAUUCUCAUUGAACACUUUCCAUUUUUUAUUAGUCUCAAAUUAUAAAAGUUUCACCUUUUGCAACUCAUUGUUCAAUUUUUUCAAAGUCAUUGGAUACUUUUUGUUGUUCAAGAAUCUCAUUUUUCUUUCUCUUAGUCUCAAAGAGUAAUUAAAAUUAAAACUAUGUUUUUAUGUUCUCAUUGAACACUUUCCAUUUUUUACUAGUCUCAAAUUAUGGAAGAUCAUUCUUUUUAUCAUCAAUAUGCAGAUGAAAUCAUAAUUUUAUAAUAAAAACAAAAAGAUCUUUCUUUAUCAAUCUUCUUAGAUCUCGUGAUUUGAAUCUAUGAUUUUAACUCUGAUAUCAAUUCCUAAAACAGGUUUUGCCCAUCUCAUCUAAAAACCAAUUGAUAAUCAGUGAGGAUAAAUUAAACAUUUUAUGACAUUCAACAUUACACUUCGUGGAUCCAUUUUAAGAACUAUCAUUUAGGUGACCCAUUCAAGACUUAAAAGUAGUAUUGUUGCACUCCAACAAAUCAUUUUACUCUUAUUCUCCCAAAAUAAAAAAUUAAUAAAAAAAAUAUUUUCAAAUUUGAAAUUGUAAUAUUAAAUUACUUUACCAAACAAACUAAAAAAUAUUUAACAAUUUAAAUUAAGUUAUUAAAUCAAUAAAUUAAUUUAUCAAUUUAUCAAACAUGCUCUUAAACAAGUUAAUGUAACAAGUUAAAUUCUUUUUUUUAGCAUAAAAAAAAAAAAGAAAAAGAAAGAAAAACUUGCUACCAAUGCCCUCAAGUGUUCUCAAGUCUCAAACCUUUAUCUAUGCUAGCCAAUAGGAAAAAUCUAAAGCAACAAUUCCUACCAAAAAUAAGCUAAUACUUUUCCUAAAAUUUUUCCAUAUCAAUUUUUAAAGUUCCCAUAUUUACAAAAUCCUCAUUUAAAUCCAACUCCAUUGCCUUUUUGUCUGACUCUCUUCUCACCUCUCCUUUUUAACUCUUCCCUCUUCUUCAACUCAAAUAUCUUCCUUUCACGGGAGACGUGACAAAAAGGAGAAAAAAUAAAAAUAAAAAAAAGUGAUGGAAUGAACCCGUGAUCUUUUAACCUCUUAAUUUUUAAUUUUCCUCACAUCCCAUGUGAUAACCAAUUAAACCUAGUCCACUUCAAGCCCUGCUAGUAAAAAGGACAAACAAUUUAGAAGUUAGAAGUAGGGUUAGCUCCUACUCAAGAUUGAGAGGUCGACAGCAUGCAGCCAUCACAAUAUACAUAAUAUAAUAAGGCGACUAGUGAUGAAAUGAAAAACACGGGCGCAGCUUUAUUACUAGCUUUCCCACCAUGACAAGAAAGUGAAAGAAAAUGGAUUUCAUCUGAAUUUUAUAUCAAAGAAGAUCAUCAAAAUCCCAGUAUUCAAUUCCAGUUUGAUGGGCUCCACUAAGAUCUCCUUUAGCAAACAGUGGAUUUCUCAGGAGAUUUGGAGUUAUCAACCACUAUAAAAAUAAGCCAUGAUAUUGUCAUUUGUAAUGCAUUCUCAUAAAGGGAAAAGCUUGAUUAUCUUGACAGAAUCGUUUUUCUUUUCCAUUCUACAUUCCACAUAAUGAAGAGAGAGGGGAGUCGGCAAAAUAUAUAUAUACAUAUAAGUGUUUGUCUGCAUUCUUUUAACCCUAUGAUGAGAGCUCAGAAGUAGUGUUUUCUCUGUGCAUGCGUCAACAAAGAGGCUGUAAAUGUAAAUAAAGAAUUGGUAUCCAGGCUUUGCUUCCGGUUAAUGGGUUAUGGGUUAUGGGUUGCUUUUUUCUCUUCAAUGGAAGUUGAUGAUUACUUUUUCUCAUUUUAAUGAUGAAAAUAUUGAGGAAAUAAAUAAAUGAUUGGUGUAGUUUAAGGAAGAAAAAAAAAACUUGAUACUGUGUACACAUGUUUAUUGUUGUUGUUGUUAACUUUUAACUUUAAUUUGAUUUUCAAAGGAAUUAAAAAUACAGGAAAAAACUUAUGAUAACAUGCUUAGAGCCCGUAGUCAAAGCAUUUUUGUUGGAAGUUUUUUUUUUUUCUACAAUGUUUUUGUAAAAUACAUUUUUAUGAGAAAUUGAAAAAAUAAUUAUAAUAGUAUUUUUAAUAAUUUGUCUUAUAAGUAUUAAAAUGCUUUUGAUAUUAAUAAAUUACCAAAAAAGAUAUAUAAUUUAAUUAUAAAAAAUCGGGAGUUUUACAUUAUAAAAGAAUAUAUGUAUAAAUAUUUAUACGAUUAAAAAGCUAAAAAUAAUCAUUUUUUAUGAUUACAAGAAAAUUUUUUAAAAUGGAUUAAUAAAUAAACAUCAAUUAUUGUAUAACAAUUUUUUAUCAUGGAAUAAUGGGUGGCGGCUAACCAAUAUUUAAAAGACUUCUUAAAUUGUGUUUAUCUAAAAUUGAAAGAUUUGAAAAAAAAAAUGUUUACAUAACUUCAAAAUUUUGUUUUUACCCAUGAUUAAAGAAUUCCUAAGGUUCCACGUUGAGGAUGGGUGAUGAUAUGAUGUUGGAUACAUGUUGGGUUAUUGACUUGUAUUAAUAAUAUAUGGUUAGCUAUCUUUUGACAUGCAUAUUUCCGGAAUACUCGAACCCCUGUACCCCUGAUCUAGGGCAUGGAAAAAGAUAUCAUAACCACUUGGACUAAUUUUCAAUAUAUAUAUAUACACACAAAAUAUUAAAAUAAAGCUUUAAUAAAUAAUUUAAUUUUAAUUAUCUUAUAUUUAAAUUCAAUUUAACUAAGUAGUAAAAAUAUAAAAAUUAUUACCAUAAUUUUUUUAAUGAAUUUUUCAAUAUCCUUUUAUCUUAAUUAAAUAUAAUAGAAAUACAAAUUUAAAAAUAAAAUUAUAAACAUUUUAGUAUAUAUAUCAAUAUAAAAUGUAUUUUCAAGUUCUAUAUAUUAUUAAUUUAUUAUCAAAUAUCACAAAAGAUAUUAUACAUAUAUAUUUAAAAAUGAUUAUUUGAAUAUGCACAUAAUAUUUUUUUUCUUAAAAAAAUUCUUCUAUUGUUAUUUUCUUUCAAAAUUCAAUAAUUUUUAAUAUAUUUUGAUAUAUUUUUAAAAUCAAAUUAUCGUUAUAUUCGAAGAUAUCGAAAAGACAUGCACAUCUUAAUAAUUCAAAUUUUAUAAAUAAAAUUUGUAGAAAAUGAUGAUACAUGCAUCCAUCAUAUCAUAUCGUGGCUUUGUGGUUUGAGUGAUUAGAAUCAAAGGCCAAUGUGAAAACCCCAAGCAGCCGGUGCCAUCAUAGCCAUGGAAUGUGGUUGUCAAAUUGCAUACCCUCUGACAGCAAUCAUUUUGGGCUGAGGAAAAAUGUUGAAAAUGUUUUAGAGUUGUGAUUUGUGAAGGAGGAGUGGGUGUUGAACUAAAUGCCACGGGGCUUUGACGAAACACCUAACCAUUACUCUUUUCAGUGGGAAAAGAAUUUCCUCUGCAUUUGAUUCAUACACAGCGUAAUUUGGAAGGGGUUGAAGCAGUGGAAGGUCAACGCCUUCAUGAUGAACCUGAAUGCUGCUAGUCUUGCUUUUUUUCUUCAUGGGGACAGCCAGAUUGGACCUUUUUCCUAGGGAAGUUGAAAGUUUAACCAAACUAUAAUUACUCUCGAGAAGAAGAAAAUGUUUGGGUUUUUUAAAUUCUGAGGCAAAGAAAAUAAAGAAAAAAAAAAGGUUUUAAAUUUAAUAAGUUAUUUUUAUAUAUUUUUUUAUUUAUUUUAUUAUUAUAUAGAGAUUAAAUAUUUAAAAAUAUAUAAAUUUUUUUAUCAUUUUUAUUUGUUUUUUUUAGCAUUUUUUUUAAAAACAUAUUUUUUAGGAAUCAAAGCCAAAAAUUGUGGUGUGGUGCUUCUUUUUCUUUUGAGAUGGUCUGAGGAGGAAACGUUCAAAGUUCUUGGAUUCAAAUGUUUUGACAAAAGUGUUGUUCUGUGAUAAAAUGGUAUACUUUUGGAAAUGCUUUUCAGUAGUCUGUCCAUGUGUGGUUGAAGUGGAAAAUUUGCUAGAAUUGGUCAGAAAACUAGCAUCACUGUUUUCCUAAAUGGUCACGAGGCAAAGUCAAAAAGAAUGCUCCACUACUCGUGAUAAGGUAAAACACGAGUUCAGACCCAUCUUAGUCUAGUGGAUUCGGAAGUUUCUACGACCCAUUUACAUUUGAUUAGUGGUUUUUAGAACCAUUAGGACGAUAAUGAACAUCAUGGGAAUCCAAUUUGUGUUAAGAUCAUGGUCCUUUGGGCCCGCCCACCCAUGGUUACCAAAAUCACGGGGUGACUACCUCGUCAGGCAUAGCCAUAGCCAGCCCAAGUAAUCCAGAGACUACCCGUGAUUGAAAUCGAAUGUAUUGACAUAAAUGUUGUGUUUUGCCAGACUUGAAUGCAAAUGACUUUAGUUCUUCCAUUUAUUGCAAAUGCAAAGCCCCAUAGAAUGUUACCAUGAAAUCGAUAUUAGAGUCGAUUCAUUACCUAAUAGCCAAGUUUUUUGGUCGGAUUGGUAGCUUAAUAACUUCUUACAAGAAUAACUUCCCAGUGAAUUCAUCAUCCUAUUGGACACAAUCAGCAAAAUGAAUUCAUAUCGUGAGAAAAGAAACAGCCCCCUUGGAAGGUGGUUUUGAGUUGAAUAUAUCAUGUUUUCGGAUUUGAAAAUAUGAAACGAAAAUGACCCAAUUCUCCAAUGUACUUUUUUUACCCGUAGAUUUUGAGUUUUCUACUAAUGCUUUUUGAGUCUCUAGGCGGCAUGCUCUCAGAGAAGUGAACCAUAGGUUCACAAAGAUUAAUGCUUAAACACGUCUUUCAUGCUUCAUGUCUAUCUAUACAUGGAGCUUCAUAGAAACCCAGCAUCUCCUCCAUAGCUGCUGCUUUUUAGACAAGGCAGAAGGUAUGAACCAUUGAAAACAUUAAGCACAGUGUUAUUAUUCCAUACCAGAUGCAAUGAGAAAUAAGAGGAUGAGUAGGACAAAUCCCUUUGAUCUCUAUAAAAACUACUUUCGAUGUAAUUGCCACCAUAUCAGAGGAAGAAGAAUCAUAUAUGAAAACCACUUUUCUGAUCUGAUGUAACCAUUAGAAAAACAUGUAAAUAGAAGUUUGUUUUCCUGGUUUGGAGAGGACAAUAUCGUGUUUCUACCGCUAUGCAUUCAUUAGUUCUCCACAAGGAAUAUGGUUACAAUAUUCAUUUAAGUUAUAUUUAGUUCCUUAAAAAUAUUAAAAAAAAUUGUUUUAAUCAUAUUUGAUUUCACCAUAAAAAAUAAAUAUAUAUAAAAUUAAUUAAAAUUUUAUAUAUUUUAAAAUUAUUUCAUCUUUAUGAAAAAUAAAUUUAAAAGAACAUAUAAAAAUAAUUUAUUGAUUUUAAAUCUAUUUUUUUUAUUUUUCUUUAUUUUUUCUUUUCUUUACUUUUACGGUCUAUUUUCUUUCCUUCGAAUUCAUCAAAGUUUCCAGCCUUAGUAUUAUUUUUUUUUUUUUUUUUUUUUUGAUGAAAACAUAAUAUGCAUAUUUAUAGGAAACCUCAGAACUAAAACGAUUGACAUUUAUCAAUGGCAUUCAAAUACAUCACAAACAGAUUAACAGGUCUGCAAUAGGAAGAUAUCAAAAUCACCAUGAUAAAUGAGAAAGAUGCAAAAACAUGGGAGGAAUGGCUUCUUCCGGAUCAUGAUUUUUCUAGAAUUUAAGGUUUUUCUUCCUUAUUCAAAACUGCAUAAAUGCCUCUUCAAUCCUCAUCAGAUUAGUUAUAAGGCUUAAAUUACCAAGGCAAUGGAGAAAAAGGGAGAAGGCAUUCAAGAAAGGCACGAAUAUGCCAGCUCCUUUUCCUCACUAAGCUCCUGUGCGGUCAAGUCCAACUUCUUCCUUGAGAACUCAUCAAUGUGAAGUCCUGAGACAAUUUUGGGGGAAGAGAGAGGGAAAAAAAAACAGUAACUGAAUAAGCUAUACCAUUGACAUGAAAUUGCUAAUAGAAGUUAAUAAGCAUGCUUCAACAGUAACUAACAAGGCUAAGACUAAGGACCUCACAUACAUGGCCAGAAGUAGACAAAUUCUUGACAGCAUAAACUUAAAAAGCUUAAACAAAAGUAGGUUCAACCAGCCUUGAUGUUCUAUUUUCAAUUGAAACCAUAAUUCAACAUGCAACAACACUCUAGGCAACAAUCACAAAUCUUUAGACACUGUAUUUAUGUUGAAGAAGAAAGAAUUAGCACGACUCAUGAUAUAAAAGAACGAGGUUCAAAGAGAAGAUCACUCUUAGUUGCUAAACAAAAGUGAACUGUUGGAAUUGGAAACAGGUUGCCAGGCAGUAGAUCAGAAGGGUUCCAAAUAUAGGACUAGAAAACAUAGUUAGGGGGUAUAAUACUGAUGUUAAAUCAUGGAUGCAGAAUACAGUAGGUAUCAAAGGGCAGAAAAUGAGCACCUGGUACCUAAAGUUGUAUCUUAUAAUGCAAAGCAAAUCAUAUCAAAGUUCUCUUAAAUCAAAACCAUGUUUCUAUCCUAAACAUUUUCCAUUCAUGGAAUGUCAACAAUAAUUGUAAGCCAAACAUCCCAAGAAUGAAGAAGAAGAAGAAGAAAAAUGAUGUAAAGCAAAUCAUAUAUUUGGCCAUCCAGGAAUUAUUUGGAAUAAAAAACAAUAAAAAAAUAAAAAAAUAAAAAAAGCAUGGAAUCUUCGCAAUUAUUUGCAAAGUUCAUGGUUUCCAUAUGGAAAUCACUGAUCACUUUUUUAAAUAAAAGGAAAAUGAAUAGAUUAAGGUUAUGUUUGGUUCCCGGAAAGUACCAAGGAAAGAAAAAAAAUGCGAAGAAAAAUGAUUUUCUCAUGUUUGAUUUCACUAUAAAAAUUUUUAAAGAAAAUUAAAUAUAAUUAAAAUUAGUUAGAAAUUUAUACAUUUUAAAAUUAUUUAAUCUUUAUAUAAUGAAGGAAAUUAAGUGAAAUGAGUUUGAAAAAACAUAUAAAAAUAAUUUAUUAAUUUUGAAUUUAUUUUUUAUUUUCUUUCAUUUUGUAUUUCCUUCCACUUUUCCUCUCUUUUUUCUUUCUCUCACAUUUUCCCCAAAAUUUCUGGGAACCAAACAUAGCAUAAAUGUUCUCAGAAAAUGGUGAAGAUUCCAAAGAGCACAAGCAUUUUGUCAUAGUGCAUAAUUGUUACCUUGUACAAUCUUCCAUUCACCAGCACAGCAGGUUACAGGGAAGGAAUAGAUAAGCCCUGCUGGAACAUUGUAUGAACCAUCAGAGUACACACCCAUGGACACCCAAGUUCCCUAAAGUCGCAAGGAGAAAAUCAAAUGCAUCAGAUACACCACACACAAUCUAUUACUGGAAGCAUACAGAUGUAAAAGCACUAACAAGAAACAACCUCUGGAGUUCCAAGCACCCAAUCACGGAUAUGGUCACAUGCAGCACUUGCAGCAGAUAAAGCACUCGAGAGCUUUCGUGCUUUGAUAAUUGCAGCACCACGUUGUUGGACAGUGGUGAUAAAUUCCCCAUUCAACCUUCAUGAAUGAAAAUGUAAAAAUGAUUAGAUAAAUUUAAAUAAAACAAAAAAAUACUAAUUAAAAGUAAACAUGACUUAUGCCCCAUACCAUGCAUCAUCACCCACAAGCCCCCGCACAGGUUUCUCACCAGCUGGGGUUUUGACAGUAGCAUGGUUGACAUCGGGAUACUGAGUUGAAGAGUGAUUUCCCCAUAUGAUAACAUUCUUAACAUCGGAUACUUGAACAUUCAGCCUUUCAGAGACCUGACCUAGUGCCCUGUUAUGGUCUAGUCUUGUCAAACAACUAAUGUUUUUCUCAGGAAUUGAUGGUGCAAAUUCCUUCAGGAUCAAGGCAUUUGUAUUUGCUGGGUUAGCAACAACCAAAACCUGAAAUAAAUGAAUGAAUGAAUAAUAAAUAAAAUUGAUUGGAAAAACACAGAAGAAAAGAAAGAAGCAUUGGCCAAGGAGUGUGGGUCACUUCCAAGUAAAAGUAUUCCCUGGUAACUAUUAAGGUGGUUCAAUCUUCACUCAAGUGCAUGAUUUUAUCAAGAAAGAAAAUUCGAAACAUGAUAUAAUCUUCAGCACCUUGCAAUUUGCAGCUGCAUGAUUUUCAAGUGCAGAGGCCUGAGACUUGUAGAUGGAAACAUUUUUGGACAUCACAUCUUUCCUUUCCAUUCCUUCUUUCCUUGGGAAGCCACCAACCAUGACAGCAAUAUUGACUCCAGUGCAUGCCUCAACAACAUCAGUUGUAGCAACAACACCUGAAAAAAAAUUAGAACUCAGUAUUGUUGUCAUCAUUUUGACUGAUAUGUAAUCACAGCAUUUCAUGGAAGAAAAGAAAAUUACCUUUAAGAAGUGGAAAAGCAGCAUCCACCAAUUCCAUUUUGACCCCAUUUAAGGCCUCUGCAGCAGGAGGGAUAUCAAGCAUGUGCAGAAUCACAGGCUGAUCAGCACCCAACAUCACUCCCCUAGCAAUCAUGGGGACAAGUGCAUAUCCAAUUUGUCCUACAAAUCAAAAUCAUUUUACCACAACAAAAUCAGUUAAAAGAAAUUGAACAGGAAAAGAGGAACAUCAAAAUGGACUAUAUCGAAUCUAGGUCUAAUUUCGGUUGGUACAUGAAUUUAGCACAUCAAAAUAUGAUGAACUGAUCUUUUUUAACAAUUGCAUGAUUAAUAAAUGCUUAAACCAACUAAAAUCAAAUCCAACUACGGCAUUUUAAAGGCAUAGUCUCUAUACAAGUUGAGCACAAUGAAAAGUGCAAGCAGUUGAAUAAAAACGAUCUUUGAGUAUACAUGCAAUUUACUGUACAUUACGUAUUAAAUUAAAAGCAGAUGAUUUACAUAGUAAAAGCAGCACAUACAACGCCAACUAUCUUUCUACUCCACAAAAAACAAUUAAUUUACAGAAUGAAAGCAGCUUUCAAGAAGCAUAGUCAUACUACACUAAAGCGUAGUCAUACUACACUAACUCUGGUAGAGUUUACCUCUCAUCACUGAUAACAAGAGAUGAAAAGAGAACUUAAAAUUUUGGAUCCAACGCUUAAGUUUUUUAUUAUCUAUUUUCGUUGUCAAAACCAAAACAACAUUAACAUAAUAUUCUGAAAUCAUAUUCUGUUUCCCAAACUUUUCCCAAGCUUCCUUUGGAUCAUAGGUUGGAAGGAAAGAUGCUGAAAAUGGAUUUUCCCUAAAUCUAUUUUCAGCAUUUUCGUUUCCUUUCAGUCAUUUUAUCCGAGAGCCAAACGCAACCUUAUCCAGAGACUCAAAAACAGUCAAAAGAACCAUAAAGAGUAGUUCAUGAUCCACUAAGAAACUUGCUAAAAACACUAAUCCACCCACAAUAGACAGAAGUAUUCAGAUCGCCAGAUCAGAAAACACAACACUCAGCAGAAACAACCGAUUCGAUCACAAACACCACCACAACAUCAAGCACCGAUGCAAUUAUAGAGCAAAAACCACGAUUGAUCCCUAAUUUUUUCAGAUCAAAAACCGAUUCAACAAAAUUAUUACGCAAAUCACAAGAUCUAUAGUAGCCCUCAGCUUUUACCCUCAAAAAAGCAACCAACACAAAGAAAUGGGAAACAAAAAAGAAAAAACAAAAUAAAACAAAACAGAACAACUCUUGCUUUCUGAGCAACCAAACAGCGGAAUCAUGGAGAAGAGAACCGUAGAUCUUGUGGUACCUGCGGCUCCAGUAACGAGAACGCGAACUGGUUCUUUGGCCAUUGUAGGAAUCGCAGGGGAGCACGGGAGAGGAAAACGACGCCUACAAAUCUAAUCUGCCUGUACACUAACCACUGUGUGUGUGCUCAAUUUUAUAGUAGAAUUUACUGCGUGCCGCUGCUUUUCGUCAAACCAGAGGUUUGGCCACGUGGCACAUCCUCAGCCAUCAUAUUUAGAAAAUUAUCAAAGAGGAUGGGCAUUUUAAGAUGUCAAUUUUAUCCUUUAACCUUUUUACGGUUACUCCUUUGCUUCCUAUGUUGAAAAAAAAAUUGGAAAAGUAGGUAAUGAAAUAUAUAUAUAAAAAUCAAGAAAAAUAGGUUAAAAGAUAAUAAUUAAAAACUCAAUAUUUUUUAUAUUAUUAUAAGAAAUUAAAUAAUUUGCUCAUUUUAUUAUAAGAAAUUAAAUUUUUUGAAAUAUACUUUUCUCAAAAAAAAAUUAAAACUUGAGAUUUUUGUAGACAAUUAGUAAAAAAGGAAAUUUAAUUUUUAUUUUCUUUAGAAUGAAAACCAAACCCUAAGAUUUCUAUGCACAAAUUUUACAUAUCCUAAUAGAAUGAAAAAUUACUUCCUCCAAGGACUAAUAAAUUAAUUAGCACAUCAAAAAAUUAAAAAUUAAUAAAAUUAGGUUAUAUUGUAGUAUAUUGUAAUAUUAAUGUAUUUGUAUUAUAAGUGUUUAUGCAUUAACGAUUUUUGUGAUAAAAUUAAUAAUUUAAAAAAUAUCUAUUUAUACUCUAUUGGUAUUAAUACAUUAUACUAAUAUAUUAACAUCAUUAACUCGGUCCAUUGAAAUUAUUUAAUCAUUUAAAAAAAAUUACAAGUCUGAUGAAUUUUAAAUUAUUGGUUUCAUAAAAGUUCAAAAUUUUCUCAAUUGAGUUUUGUUGUAAUAUAUAUAUAUAUAUAUAUAUAUAUAAAUAUUAUAACAGAAGUAACAAUAUUAGAGAUAUUUUAAACAUCAUUUUUAACGAUAUUUGGUUUCAUAAAAGAAACCAAAUACAUUAAUUUGAAUUCACGAGACUUGUCAUUUUUUUUUUAAAUAAAAAUGAUUAAACAAUUUCAAUGUAUUGAGUUAAUGAUAUUAAUUCAUUGAUAUGAUGUAUUAAAAUAAUAGGGUAUAAAUAGGUAUUUUUAAAAUAACUGAUUUUAUUAUAAAAGAUAUAUUGGACAUAAAUGUGUUAUAUUUAUAAUAUAAAUAGACUAACAUUAUAAUACAUUACAAUAUAAUCUUCUUCUUCUUUUUUAAUCUUUUUAUGUGAUAUACUACUAAGCUAAUAAUCGUACAUUAUUCAAUUGAUUAAUAUUCAUGAAAUUAACUAGUCAUUAUAUUAGGAUAACAAAGUUUUUACUUGGUCGUAAGCAAUUGUUAAAAUUUAUCAUUCGAUGCACAAAUAGCAUAGUAAGCUUAGAGUUUGGUUUUUAUUUUAAAGAAAUUGAAAAUUAAAUUUCUUUUUUUUUUUUUCUAGGUUCUCUACAAAAAUCUCAAAUUUUUAAUUUUUUAAUUUUUAGAAAAGUAUAUUUCAAAUAAUUAAUUUCUUAUAAUAAAAUAAGAAAAAAAAUGAGAUAAUUUUUUAUAAUUUUUCCUUUGACCUUUUUUCUUGAUUUUAUAUUUUUUUUCUUAUUUAUUUAUUUUCUAUUUUUUUCAUUUUUCCAAAAAAAAAAAAAAUUCAACCUCAUAUAAGCUAAGGAGAAAUGAAAAUUUUGUGAAAUAAAGGAUAAAGUUGUAAUUUCAUUACUUUUACAAAUUUUUUUUAAUCCUAUGCAAGCAAAGGAGUAAUGGUAAAAAGAUUGAACAAAGGGUAAAAUUGACAUCUUAAAAUUUGGGUCCUUCUUAAUUUUCUUUUUUCUAAAUAUCCUUUUAUAUCUUGCUAUUUUUGCCACCUAUUCGAAGAAAAUCAAUAGCUUUUGACAAUAAAUAUAAAUUUCUACGUUUUUAUUUCAAAAAUAAUAUCUAAUAAAAGUUCUUAAAUAUGAAAAAAAAAGUGUUUUUUUUUUACUUAUUCUUUACUAAGACAUCACAUACUUACCUACAAUAUAAAUUUUUAAAAAAUAUUUUCUAGAUUUUUCAUCAAAAAAACUAAAAAUGCUUAAAAUCUUUUUUAAAAAAUAAUUUAUUUUCAAAACAAAUAAAAAAAAAAACUGUCCAUUUUGUUGAGAUUUUUUCCUUCUUUUUUUCUUUCUCUCAGUUCAAAGUAAUCAAUUUUUAAUAAAAGUUUUAAUUAUUCUAAGCUUAAAAAUUUAACAUUAGAAAAUAAUGUAAAAAUAAUUAAUUCUCUACCAUUCUUAAUAUACCAUGUUUGGUUGAUGAAACAUAGCAUUAUCUAUCCCAUGUUUAACCAAACCCUGGAUAAAAUAGGUGGUAUGAUAUAUCAUCCACUUUCAUUUUUAUAUCCUUUCCAUGGAUAUGUAAAUCUUAAGUUAAAAUAUAGGAGAUAGGAUAUGUAUAUACCACGGAUCAUAAAUUUAUUUAUUAUUAUUUUGUUUAAUAUUACUUAUUUUGUAAAAUAUAAAAUUUAUUUAAAAAAUAAAUUUACAAUUAAAAAAUAUUAAUAUAUGUAUUUUUAAUAUAUAUAUAUAUAUAUAUAUAUAUAAUUCAUUUUACAAACUAAUUAUAAGUAUAACAUAAUAUACGUCAUUGAAUAAACUGCCUUAUGAUGUAAUGUCCAUUUGAUAUAAUAUUUUUAAAUUAAGAAAUAAUUAAUCUAAUACUAACUUGAUCUGAUAUAUAAUUCAAAGUAUUUAAUUCAAAUCCAAUUCAAUCUCAUUUCUCUAAACUUGAGUUUAGUUCAGGUUGAUCAUAUUAUAUAAUUCAAAAUCCAUCCAUUAUGUUUUUUAAAUUUUUUUUUACAUAUAUAAUAAAACAAACUUUCAAGAUAACCACAAAAAUAUAAAAUAAAUCUAUAUAUUUUUCUAAAAAAAUAAAAAAGUAUAUGAUAUAAUAUAAUUUGAUAUUAUUUUUCUUUAAAAAUCUAAAAGAAAAAUUAGUAUUAUUAUAUACGAUAAUAUACAUAAUAAUCAUAACAUUAAAUCAAAUUAAGUUCAGGGCGGGUUGGACCACCCUGUCGUGUCCAAAAGUUUGCAUCCAUAGUUGGAGCCCAUACACUCAAGGAGGAAAAUAUCGGGAUAUAUCGGCGAUAUAUUGUGUAUCGGGAGGGGUCGACACGAUAUUUCGUGAAGAAAAAUCAAAGGGGAGAUAUUUCUGUAAAUAUCGCCAAAAUAUCGGCGAUAUAUCGGUUCGGAGAGAUAUAUCGGAGAUUUUUUGAAAAAAUCGCCUCUGGUGGUAAAAUAUCGGUAAUAUAUCGGCGAUAUAUCGGAGAUAUAUCGCUGAUUUUUUGGGUGAUAUUUCCCCUCCUUCAUGCAACGUGAUCUGACUGCCCAGAUCACGCCCGUGUUGAUCCGAACGGCCUAGAUGUGAUUCCAAUGGUAAUAUGGCGAUCCAACGGCCAGAUUGCUCCCAAUUUUUUUAUCCAACGGCCAAAAUUGAUUUUCAACAGUAAAUUAAUGUUCCAACGGCUAUUUUGGCCCAAAUUUAUUCUAUAAAUAGCCCAAAUUUCAUCUAAUUUUGCUUUCAUUCUUUAUUUUCUCUCUCAUUACUCCAAUCUUUAUUAAGGUUGCUCAAUUAUUUAAUCAUUUUAAGGUAUAUUUGUUUUAAAUUGUAAUUAAUUUUGUUUGCAAUUGUAAUUAAUUCAUGUAUUUUCAAUUAAUUAGUAUGUUUGCAAUAUAGAUUAUUUAAUGCUAUUUUUACAUUCAAUUGCAAUUAAUUUUUAUAUUUUUAUUGAAUUAACUUAGGUUAAUUUGAUUAUUUAAUUAUAAAUUGAUAUGUUUAUUUUAGAUGAUUAUUUGUGAUUUAUUUUCACAUUUAGAAUUAAAUUAAACUAGUUAACUUAGCUAAAUUAUUUAAUUAACAUGCUAAAUUAUUUAAUUAAUUUAAUUAACAUGAACUAGUAUAUUUUGAAUAUGAAAUAUGUUUAUUUAAUGAAUUUAAUGUGUACAAAUUAUUGAUAUUUAAUGAAAUGAAAUAUUUUAUGUGACUUUAUAAUGAGAACAAUUACAAAAUUAACAUUUCUUAUAGAUCGACAUGAUAUAAUUACAUCUAAUAUUGCAAAUUAUAUCAUAUAUAUAUAUAUAUAUAUAUAUAUCAAAUUUUUCAAUAAAACAACUUUAAAAUGUUCAUUAUACUUCUAAUUAUAUUAUUAUGAGAUUUUCCUUACAUUUCCAUGAGUUUUUAGCAAUUUUAAGUCUAUCGAUAUUUGUUUCCAGAAUAUACACCGAUAUAUCCGAUAUAUCCGUAAAAUCGAAAUACCGAUAUAUCCGUAAUUACCGAUAUUUUCAUCCUUGCAUACACGUUGUUGUUGAAAAUAAUUUUAAUAAAAAGUUUUAUUUUUUGAAAUUUUCUAAUCAACAUAAUAACAAUCUUACAUUUAUAAUAAAUUACUCAUAUUUAUAAUAUAAGUUUAAUGUAUAAUUAAAUUACAAUUUGCAAAUAAAAUAUGAAACUAAAGAAAUAACAAUUCCAAAUGCUUCUCAGGUUCAAAAAAUUCUUCUAAUUUAACUUUAAAUCAUAUUAAUAUUUUCAACAACCUUCAUUAAGCUAAAUUUUAAAAUCAACUAUACUAAGCAUCAAUCACUUUCAACUCUUCUAACAAAAUGGCUUUGUAAAGAUAUUUACAACUUGAUCUCACAUUGAUGCAUAUAACCAUUAUAUCACUAAUAAAAUUUGACUUGAUGUCAAGUGUAAGCUAAAAAUGACAUAUUUGAAAGUAUGAUGUUGUAGUUUUGUAAGUGUCAAUCCACACGUACAAGAGCAUAAUUUUUUGCUUUAGUUCAUACAAUGCCUUAUAAAGUCAAACUUGCUUCUCUUACCCUUAAUAUUUCAUAAUAUGUUGACUCUGGUAAGCUAUAGUAUCCACUAGUCAACGUGUGUAUGUAGACAUGCAUGCCCCGAUUGAUUCUAUGACCAUUCAAAGUAAGGGAUGAUGUAAGAUCAUAAGCACUUCAUAUUCAUGAUCCAUCCCUUCCGAUAAAACUAUUUUAUUAUUCAUGAAGAAGACUAAACAAAUUAUGCUAUCACUUUUUAUUUCAUUGUAUACAGACGUAUAAUCGUACAUUUUUAUAAACUAAACAUUAAUGUAAAAUUAAUCUAAAAUCCAACUGAAUUGGAAUUUAACUUAAGUCGUGUGAGUGUUUAUUUAGGUUGAUAAUUUUGGAUAAAAAUUCUUAAACAUCUCCUAACUCGGGUUUUCUAAAUCAUUCCUUAGACUACUUGCCUAAUAAAGAUCAAGAUGUUGAAAAUGCUUAAAGGUCAAAAUAAGUAGUUGAAGAUGUAGGUGAAUGUGAAUCAACAAGUAUUCAAAUUGCUAUUUUUUUUCUUAACCUACUUAAAAAAAUAAUAAUAAUAAGGAAGUCAAGGCAAUGAUUUUUUUUUUUUUCCUUUUUUACUAAAAUAUUUUUGUGCCUUAUUCUCAUAUUGAUUUGGAUUUAAGUAAGAUCGAUCAAUCUUUUGUUGGAUCUAUUUUUAAACAUUGGGUCAACGGUUUCCUUUCAUAUUUAACUCAAAUGUUUCCAAUUUAAGAGAGGAAACACCAACAAUCGUUCUAACUCCCCUUGAGCUCUCUCUUUCUUCAAUCAAAUUGGAAGUAUUUGGUUUCCAAAAAAAUCCUCCUUACCUAUAUUUUCAAAUCAUUUUUCAAUUUGAUUUUCUUAAAAAGGGGUUGAUUCAUAUCAUUUAUUCAUCUCUCAUUUUUUUUAUUUGUUUGACAUAGGAUGAAAAUUCAGUUUCUUCUUAUGUGGAUUCAAGAAGGGGCCAAGAUUAAGCUUAAUGUAGACUCUAAAUGUGCUCCGAAAGAACAUGUGAAGUUUAAUUUGGGAAAUACUAAUUAAGUAGUCCAAUAAUGAUAAAUAGACUUAAGUUAGAUAAAACCUUGUACCUGAUUAUGCUUCAUAAUAAAAGCUUUUGAUCGUUAAUAGAUCCCUGGUUUUUGGUCUCUUAGGUGACUUUCCAUGUUAAAAUUUGGUGUUAUUGUAUCUCUCUCAUUCUUCUAUUUUGUUUAUUCCUAUUUAUUAACCUCAAUUUCAUACUUCGACAUAUUUGGUAGAUGGGUGAAAAAUGAACUAAAACGAGUUUGAUUAUUCUUUGAAAAUCUUGAAUAAUUUUCUAUUCAAUUUUAUUAUGAUAUCAAAUAGUAAUUAAAAAUAUGCUAAGAAGUUAAUUGUUCUUGUGAAUUUAGCUUGGGCAAUCCAUGUACAUAUGAAUUACAUUUAUAAAUUAUUGAGAGAGUAUUAUUGUAUUGAUACUUGUAUGUGAUUUUUAGUUUUUAUUUUUUAAAUGAUUAGAAGAGAAGGGUAUAAACUAUGAAAAAUCUAAAGAAUAGAUAAUAUGUAUUUCCGGACCUCUUGAAUUUGUUUAAAAAACACCUAUUUACUCCCCUUCUCGGUGUAGUACAUCAUUAAGAUUCAUCCUCAAAUUAUAAGUGGGUUACAUCAAUUUAUAAUGCAACAAAAAUUAAAAACCUAGUAUAAUUAUUGUUGUUAUUGAUGUAUUAAGAUUAAUAUGGUGAAUUCGGACAAUCAAAUUUAAAUAAAGCUGACAAUAAUUUUCAAUGGUGUUGACAUCAUUAUAUUGAAAAGUAAAAAUUAUUUUAAAGCAACAAAAAAUAAAUAGAUAAAAAUGAGUAAACUAUAUGCAAGAAACCUGUUGAAGUUGCCAAGAUUGAGAUUGAAAGAAUUAUUUUAAGGCAAAACAUAUGAACUGUCGAAAACAUUUAGCAGAGUGUUUUUAUUCCAUGUAGAUGCAUUUAGAAAUAGGGUCAUGUGAGGAAAAAUUAUAUGAAAAUUAAUUUUUUGAAGUAAUCUGCAACUUUAAGAAAACCUGUAAAUAGAAGUUUGCUUCUUUGGUUGGAGAGGACCACAUUGUGCUUUUUCUCUGGUAUACACUAUUUUUUCCCGGUAUCUGCAAAUAAAUUGUUACAGCAUAACGUGUAUAAUCAUUUUUUAUUUUUUACUUUUGAUGAAUAAAUAAUAUGUAUAAUCAAAUGAAACCUCAGAACUAAAACAAUUAACAUUUAUCAAUGGCACUCAGCACAUUACAAACAGAUUAACAGGUCUGCAAUAAGUAGAGAUCAUCAGAAUCACCAUGCAUAAAUGAGAAAGAUGCAAAAACAUGGGAGAAAUUGCUUCUCCCCGAUCAUAAUUUUUUGUGGAAUUUAAGGUUUUUCUUCCUUAUUCAAAACUGCAGAAAUGCCUCUUCAAUCCUAAUCAGAUUUAUUACGAAGCUUAAAAUUACCAAGGCAAUAGAGAAAAGGUAGAAGGCACAUUCAAGAAAGGCACGAGUAUGCCAGCUCCUUUUCCUCACUAAGCUCCUGUGCAGUCAAGUCCAACUUCUUCCUCGAGAACUCAUCAAUAUGAAGUCCUGAGCCAAUUUGAGGGCAGAGAAAGAGAAAAAAAGAUAAGGAGAACAGAAUAAGCUAAUCCAUUGAUACGAAAUUGCUGAUAGAAGCUAAUACACAUGCUUCAUCUGUAGCUAACAAGGCUUAAGGACCUCACAUACGUGACCAGAAGUAGACAAGUUCUUGAGAACAUAAACUUGAAAAGCUUAAACAAAAGUAGAGGUUCAACCAGCUCUGACGUUUAAUUUCAAUUGAAACCAUAAUUCAACAUGCAACAACACUCCAGGUAACAAUUAUGAAUCUUUAGACACUGUAUUUAUAUUGAAGAAAAAAGAAUUAGCAUGACUCAUGAUAUAAAAUAUGGUCUCUGAAGAUGCUUCAAUCAGUAAAACAAAAGAACAAGUUUCAAAGAGAAGAUCACUCUGUUGUUGCUAAACAAAAGAAAACCCGUUUGAAUAGAAAAUAGGUCGCCAGCCAGCGGAUCGGAAGGGCUCCAAAUAAAGGACUAGACUACAUAGAUAGGUAUAAUAGCAGAUGUUAAAUUCUGGAUGCAGAAUACAGUUGGUAUCGAAGGGCAGAAAAUAAGCACGUAGUACCUAAAGUUGUGUUUUAUGUUUCAUAGGUCCAAUUCAAAUGAACAAGGAAGAAGAGAUUUAGUCAAAACAUUGGCACUACAUCCCACUUCCAUCUAUCAAUGACACAAUCAAAGAAGUCACCCGAAUCAAGAAAACAAAAAAGAAUGGCAUAAAGCAAAUCACAUAAAAGUUCUGUAAAUCAAAUCCAUGUUCCUAUCCUAAACAUUCUCCAUUCAUCAAAUAUCAACAAUACUUGUAAGCCAAACAUCCCAAGAAUGAAGAAGAAGAAGAAAAAUGAUGUCAAGCGAAUCAUAUAUUUGGCCAUCCAGGAAUUAUUUGGAAUAAAAAAAAGAAGAAAGAAAAAACAAAAAGCAUAGGAAUCUUCGCAAUUAUUUGCAAAGUUCAUGGUUUCCAUACAGAAAUCACUGAUCACUUUUUUAAAUAGAAGGAAAAUGAAUAGAUUAAAUAUUCUCAGAAAACAGUGAAG